rnacentral:rRNA from 1 species
CGUCAAGUCAGUAUGGCCCUUACGGCCAGGGCUGCACACGUACUACAAUGCCUGAUAUAAUGGGAAGCAAGACCGCGAGGUGGAGCAAAUCCUCAAAAUCAGGCCCAGUUCAGAUUGUAGGCUGCAACUCGCCUACAUGAAGGAGGAAUCGCUAGUAAUGCCGUAUCAGCUACGACGGCGUGAAUACGUUCCCAGGCCUU